UCAUUGUUUUCUUACUCAAAUGGAAAUGCUAAAAACAAAACAUGUUUACUUGGGAAUAUUGUUUUAAUCCGCAGUCAUUUUGCAUGUUUUACAGCAUCUUUCCAUCCCGUGAGUCUUACGUAAUAUACCUUUAACUAACAUGACAUCAUCCUCCAGGAAGUGGCAUCAUUUUGGAGGGAAAACAACAGAUAACAGAAGGCGAUGAGUAUGUUCAGCAGUGCUCUAGCCUCCGGUCAGCUCGGCCCUCUCAUGAACCAGUUUGGUCAUCCCUCUGAAGCAGUUGACGCAGCUAAUAAAGGAGAUGUGGAGGCGUUUGCCAAGGCCAUGGAGGGCAGUGAUGCCAAGACCGAUGAUGGUGAUUCCAAAGACAAGAAAGAUGAUGACGAGAACAUGAGCUUGGAUUAGAACGGCCUUCUGAACACAACCGUGUCUCUCUGAAGAGUUAGUCUCAUAUUAGUCUGGGAUGUUUGCCUGUAAUCAUUGAUUCAAGUGUGUUUUGUAUGUCCAAAGCUACACUAUUGAACAAUUGACUAUGUAAUGCCA